GAAAGUGAUGGAGUCUCCAUCUCUUGAUGUCUUCAGACUAAGACAGGAUGCCUUUCUGGAAAACACGCUUUAGCUAAACACAAGUUAUGAUGUAGUCCAGUGGUUCUCAACCUAUUUACCAUCAUGGGCCGCGUAUGUGGUGCACAAUGUGUUAUGUGGGCUGCAUCUAAUACUAUCCCUAUGGCCCUGAGGAUGUCACAUUAGCCGCAGUUUGAGAACCACUGCUGUAGUCAAACACAAAUUGUUGGGCUCAAUGCAGGCGUGAUGGGGUGAAAUUUAACAGCCUCUGAUAUACAGGAAGUUAGACCAGGUGAUCUAAUAUUGCCUUCUAACUUUAGACUAUUAAAAAACUAUGCUAUAAUUGAAAAAAAAUGUGUUGCAUUAGUGUAUAGCACUAAUGCCUGUUCAUUCUUGUGAUAUUAACAUAGGGAUGAAUACAUCACAAUUUCACAUCCUAGGCCAAAUGAAUUGCUGAUCUCUGUGGAGUUAGCAAAGAGACGUUUAUCCUGAUCUCAUUGCUUAGUUCCAGUAGUGAAGAACACAGUAUUUGGAGGAUGGCAACAGAAACUGCAAAAGCACUAGUUUUCUUGGUUUGACCCACUCAAAAAACAAUUGUCUCCCACAGCCUCCAGCAUCCUGUAAGAGAUUCUUAUACUUCAAUAUGCUGGCUAUUACACCGUGGCAAUGAAUUUUGCUAUGGAUAAGUCUCUUUCUUCAUGAACCGAUUCACUGUUGCACAUGCCAGACACUAGCUCUUCCACAGAUGACAUGAGAGAAGCUUCUUCACCAACGGAAUCUGUCUUAUCUGAAUUUGAAAGAUUAAUUUAUUUGAGCACUUUCCAGAAGAUGAAAAGAGAAAGGUUCUAAGAACUCAACCCAGCAAAAUAUCUAGGCAUGUACCUGCUGAUAUUCUGAAGAAUCAAAUGAUGCAGCCUGAGCUAUCAGAGACCCCUCUGCUGCUGGCGUAUCAAGAACUAUA